CCCUUAGAUGUUCUGGGCCGCACGCGCGCUACACUGAUUCAUGCAACAAGUUUUGUCCUUGGCUGAUAGGCCUGGGUAAUCUUUGAACGUGAAUCGUGAUGGGGAUAGAUGAUUGCAAUUAUUCAUCUUCAACGAGGAAUUCCUAGUAAACGCAAGUCAUCAGCUUGCAUUGAUUACGUCCCUGCCCUUUGUACACACCGCCCGUCGCACCUACCGAUUGAAUGGUCCGGUGAAAUCUUCGGAUCUGAGAGAUGUCUGAUUAAUUUCGGACGCCUUUUGGAAAAGUUGUUUAAACCUUACCAUUUAGAGGAAGGUGAAGUCGCAACA
rnacentral:rRNA from 1 species